CCUACGGGUGGCUGCAGUAGGGAAUUUUGCGCAAUGGGCGAAAGCCUGACGCAGCAACGCCGCGUGAUUGAUUAAGCCCUUCGGGGUGUAAAGAUCUUUCAGUGGGGACGAAACUUGACGGUACCCACAGAGUAAGCACCGGCUAACUCCGUGCCAGCAGCCGCGGUAAUACGGAGGGUGCAAGCGUUUUCCGGAAUCAUUGGGCGUAACGGGUUCGUAGGUGGCUUAUUAAGUCUGGUGUGAAAUGCAGAGGCUCAACUUUUGUUCGGCAAUGGAUACUGGUAAGCUUGAUUGCGGUAGAGGUAGAGGGAAUUCGUGGUGUAGCGAUGAAAUGCGUAGAUAUCACGAGGAACAUCGAUGGCGAAAGCGCUUUACUGAGCCGUAAUUGACACUGAGGAACGAAAGCCGGGGUAGCAAAUGGGAUUAGAUACCCGUGUAGUC
rnacentral:rRNA from 1 species